rnacentral:rRNA from 1 species
GCGACCCCAGGUCAGGCGGGGCUACCCGCUGAAUUUAAGCAUAUCAAUA